AACAGGAUUAGAUACCCUGGUAGUCCAUGCCGUAAACGAUGAGUGCUAGGUGUUGGAGGGUUUCCGCCCUUCAGUGCCGGAGCUAACGCAUUAAGCACUCCGCCUGGGGAGUACGACCGCAAGGUUGAAACCCAAAGGAAUUGACGGGGGCCCGCACAAGCGGUGGAGCAUGUGGUUUAAUUCGAAGCUACGCGAAGAACCUUACCAGGUCUUGACAUCUUGCGCCAACCCUAGAGAUAGGGCGUUUCCUUCGGGAACGCAAUGACAGGUGGUGCAUGGUCGUCGUCAGCUCGUGUCGUGAGAUGUUGGGUUAAGUCCCGCAACGAGCGCAACCCUUGUUACUAGUUGCCAGCAUUAAGUUGGGCACUCUAGUGAGACUGCCGGUGACAAACCGGAGGAAGGUGGGGACGACGUCAGAUCAUCAUGCCCCUUAUGACCUGGGCUACACACGUGCUACAAUGGACGGUACAAUGAGUCGCGAACUCGCGAGGGCAAGCAAAUCUCUUAAAACCGUUCUCAGUUCGGACUGCAGGCUGCAACUCGCCUGCACGAAGUCGGAAUCGCUAGUAAUCGCGGAUCAGCAUGCCGCGGUGAAUACGUUCCCGGGCCUUGUACACACCGCCCGUCACACCAUGAGAGUUUGUAACACCCAAAGUCGGUGGGGUAACCUUUUAGGAGCCAGCCGCCUAAGGUGGGACAGAUGAUUAGGGUGAAGUCGUAACAAGGUAACC
rnacentral:rRNA from 1 species